rnacentral:rRNA from 1 species
GAUGAGAUUUCCCAUAGCGCAAGCUAGUAAGAUCCCUGAAAGAUGAUCAGGUUGAUAGGUUCGAGGUGGAAGUGUGGUGACACAUGGAGCUGACGAAUACUAAUCGAUCGAGGACUUAACCAAUUU